CCAGCUACCGCCGAAUUCCGGGUGGACGUCCCCCGAGGAGUACCGAUGGUUUUUUCGGUCCGACGAUAUUUUUAGAGGUGAAAAAUACCCGUCGCUAUUCGCGAGACGCCCCCGAGAAUUCUCGCCUUCGUUUAGAUUUCGUUGUCGGGGAUAGGGGGGGAGGAAUUAUUGUAAACUCCGAAACCCGCAUACCCGCCGCAACGAUAUCGUACGAGUGUUAUUCCCAUCAAUCGGUUCGUUCCAAUGCCGGUUAACGUAAUGUUUCACUCUAUUUCCCCCCCCCCCCCCGUCGUCAACGACGUUUAAUUCUAUAACUAAUCGAAUUAUUGUGCAUUGGUACUAUACGCUGCGCGUGUAUUAUUUUUGUCGCAUGAUACUUCUCGAUGGUAUUUAUUCCCGAAUUCUCACGAUGGUUAUUUCAAUAACGUGACUCUCGUCGUCCUCCGCCGCAGUCCACAAGCGCAGGAGGUAAAUCGUAUUAAUCGUGACGAAAACGUGUGUGCUGUUUUGUAUUUUAUACGUCGUUCGUAUUACGAUGAAAAUAUUUUUUUUUUUUAAAAAAAUCGAAACUCACAUUUCCGAGAAAACGACCAAAAUCGACAAAUGGUUCGCCCGCAGUGCAACCGAGAAACGCGGAUUAUUCUCAAAUACGAUUUGGGCUGAGAAAAAUUCCGCGAAAAGUCGAG